rnacentral:rRNA from 1 species
AGAGUUUGAUCAUGGCUCAGGACGAACGCUGGCGGCGUGCCUAACACAUGCAAGUGGAGCGACGAACCAGGCUUCGGCCUGGGGCAAAGCCGCGAACGGGUGAGUAACACGUGGGUAACCUGCCCCGAUGAUUGGGACAACCCGAGGAAACUCGGGCUAAUACCGAAUGUGCCCUCCGACCAUAAGGUCGCUGGGGAAAGGAAGCUUCGGCCUUCGCAUCGGGAUGGGCCCGCGGCCCAUUAGCCUGUUGGUGAGGUAACGGCUCACCAAGGCUGCGAUGGGUAGCUGGUCUGAGAGGACGAUCAGCCACACUGGGACUGAGACACGGCCCAGACUCCUACGGGAGGCAGCAGUGGGGAAUCUUGCGCAAUGCGCGAAAGCGUGACGCAGCAACGCCGCGUGGGGGAAGAAGGCCUUCGGGUUGUAAACCCCUUUCAGUUGGGACGAAGCUUCGUCGGUGAAUAGCCGGCCGGAGAGACGGUACCUUCAGAAGAAGCCCCGGCUAACUACGUGCCAGCAGCCGCGGUAAUACGUAGGGGGCAAGCGUUGUCCGGAAUCAUUGGGCGUAAAGAGCGUGUAGGCGGCCUGGUAAGUCCGCUGUGAAAGUCCAGGGCUCAACCCUGGAAUGCCGGUGGAAACUGUCAGGCUCGAGUCCGGAAGAGGCGAGUGGAAUUCCUGGUGUAGCGGUGAAAUGCGCAGAUAUCAGGAGGAACACCAAUGGCGAAGGCAGCUCGCUGGGACGGUACUGACGCUGAGACGCGAAAGCGUGGGGAGCAAACAGGAUUAGAUACCCCGGUAGUCC